rnacentral:rRNA from 1 species
UACGUAGGGAGCGAGCGUUGUCCGGAUUCAUUGGGCGUAAAGAGCUCGUAGGCGGCUUGGUAAGUCGGAUGUGAAACCUCCAGGCUCAACCUGGAGUCGCCAUCCGAUACUGCCAUGGCUAGAGUCCGGUAGGGGCCCACGGAAUUCCUGGUGUAGCGGUGAAAUGCGCAGAUAUCAGGAGGAACACCGGUGGCGAAGGCGGGUCUCUGGGCAGUAACUGACGCUGAGAAGCGAAAGCGUGGGUAGCGAACAGG